rnacentral:lncRNA from 1 species
GGCCGAACAGGAAUCAUCCUGGGAACUGGUUAUAAUCUAUUUAUUUAAAAAUAUUUAUCAUUUAUUGAGUAAUUACCAUGUGACAGCAAUGCUGGUAAGAGCUUUCCAUACAUUGUUUCAUUUGAUACUUACAUAAUUCUUAUACGUUAUCUCCAUUUUUCAGAUAAGGAAAUGGAGUUAAUUAGAUGUUGAGGUUGAAUUUAAAUCAAAGACUGGUUGAUGCUAAAGCUAAAACCCUUCAGGUUCUAACAGACAGACAGACAGGAUAGACACACACACCCACACAUGCGCAUACACACACACACACACACACACACACACACACACAACCUCAUGAUACCUAUGUAAAAUUUGAGUUUCCAAAGCAGGAAAAAAGUCUGUUUACAAGAGAAAACAUAAUACAAACUGAGAAAUAAGGCCAAUGAAUAGAACUGGCCUAGAAAUCUGUAGAGAAGCAAAGACAGGAAGAUUUUACAGGAAAAAUUUUAGGUGUCCUGAUCUGUUCUAAUUACAUAUCCUUGGAGACACAUGGCCUUUCUGAACCUUAGAUUUCAUAUAUUAAUGAACUGGUCGACUAGAUGAUUUCUCGAUUUCAUUUCAGCAUUAACAUACUUUUUCUUUUUGGAUAGAACUUUUUAUUUAGUCAUUUUGUAUAAAAUCAAACUAAAAAAUUUGUUUUCACCAAACCCCAUAAGAAGUAAAAUUGUUUGCUUCCAAUACGAACAGUAUGUUUCAAAAUCCACCAAGAGAAGCAACUGGCUAGGACCCUGGGAGGCCUGGUCCUCUCACUACUCAAUGCUGUUUAACUUUCAGGGAAAGGCCUCAAAAGCCCCCCCAGUGGUGGGGCAGAGGAGGACUGCGCCACUCAGAGAAGCCAAGGCUGGCAUUGUCCCAGUCCCACUGCCCCACCUGUCCUGCAGCAGGGAGCUUUUCUGGGAGGAAUGAGCCUGGAAGAAGGAAUGUAAAAAACUCACUAGUUUACUAUGUUAAAAAAAAAGAUGGCACAUUUAUUGCUACAUAAAUGUUAUAUACAUAUUGUGUUUUCUGUUACAGUGACAGAAAAAAUUUGAACUUCUUGCUGCUGGUUGAAAGGUUUAUCAAUAAUACCUUGCAUUUGACACAGGAUACAAAUCUGCAAUAAAUCAACAGUGGAAACUGGAGAACAAGAUGAGAAGCAAUUCAUCUCGAACGUUAGCUCUUACAAUACUCCAUAGGUACUACACGGUAUGCUAGAAACCUACUAUGGUCUUAAAAUGCUAUUGUAAAUUUCUGAUAUUAAUGAACAGGUUAUGGUAAAUAACCCUACAUUUUUACUACCUAAUAUAAUAAAAUAAAGUAAGAAACUUUUUACUGAAAACUUUCGAUUUCAAAAAUCUAGAAAGAGUAAUAUUUAGAAUUCAAGAAAUUUUCUUACAAGAUUAUUGUAUAAAAGACUAGCUACAGUGAAAAAUAAGCCAAAUGUUUUUUUCUUUCUAUUUUAUGAAGGAAAGCUUCUGGGCAUACUGCAAAGUCUAAUAUAGCGAAAAAGACAACAAGCUCUGAAGAAAAAGGCCAGGCAGUGCUGUAUGUUCACUCACACAUCAUAAGCAACAACUUCGUUUAGCUGAUUAACACUGAAAUGAAGAACAAGGCCACAGAUAGAGUCUGAUGUAAUUGGAGAAUAUAUGCAAAUUAAGGUAGCCAAAAAGUCCACUAAGUUCACAAACAGUUGAUUUGUUAGGAAAUCAUCCUGAUUGGACGAUCCGAAGUUCCGCCUUAAUUGUUUUUGUUCUUUCAAAUUAACAGAAAUCUUUAAUUUACAUAGUGAUUUGGGUUCUUUCUUCUGUAUGCUGACUGCCCUUGCUGAUGCUAGCUCUGAGAAUUACUAAGCCAAGACAACCUUGUUUAGCAUGUAUUUCUCUCCCAGGUUUGUUGUGGUGGAAGACAGAUUUCAUGGAAGUUCAGUCAUUAUGAUGUCUUAAAAAAUUACUCUGAAAAAUGAGAGAGGUGCCCAGUGCACAGUAUUAAGAUUAACUGACAAGUAUUGGUUUAAUGCUAAUCUGGCUAAUCUUGGGAUGGGGGCUGAUGGUUUGCAGUUGAUUAAAUCACCCACUGAAUUCUCCCCUACCCAGCCAAAUGACAGAGAAUAAAGGUGAGGAGAAGGGGACCUGGUAACCAGUGUUCUUGGACUCCAUCAGGUAAUGAACCUCAAAGUGGUGUGUUCGCUUAUCACACUACCUGCCUUGAUGACUACUUGGUCUUGUUAUAUUCACCAUAAUCAUGGCCUGAAAAAUCAUCUUUGUAUUUUAAAUGAAUUUUGUGCUUACUUACAGCUAACACUUUACAAGUACUAUAUUAUGUAGUACUUACUGCUUGGAAAACAAAGCAAUUUCUAAAAAGUAAAUUCUUCCCUUGUAAUUUACACUUCUUGCUAUUACAAGCUUUACUAUGAAACCUAGAAGCUUGAAAAGUCUUGGUGUUAUUAGAAAUAAAGCAAUGUUUAUUUGUGGGAAAAACCUAAGGAAAAUUUUCCCCUUUUAAAAUCUUAGCUAGGCUAUGGUCACAGAUGGUCUCUGCUCACCACUGUGGAUACAUGUGCAAAGCACACAGGGCUGCAUGGAUGAUUCUGGACUGUGACCAUAACUACUCAGAUUCAGAGACCAAAUGUCACACCCACAGAGAAAAAAAAAUGCAUGAAAAAUGAGAGAAAAUGCUAUACCAAGUAAUAUUUUCCUAUUUCAUGGAAAACACUAUUUAUAUGGCAAAAGGAGAGGAGAGGGCAACAAAAGACUUUUCCCUUCCUUUUUAAGACACUCACAGGUAUGCCGGGAAUGCUAAGGGCCAAUGGUUGUCACUGUUUUGUUCUCUGCAUGGGAACAGCUUUAACAAAUGCUGGCAUCAACCUUUUCCCUUCAUAUGUAGACCUUACAGUUCCAUAGCAAUAAAUAAAAUUUGUAGUUACAAUGCAUUUGUCAAUUCAGUUUAGGCACAAGGCAACUUCCACGAUGAGUGGAGAGAUCGAGACAGUCUCUGAUUGUGCAGAAGCAACACACUGCUUGCAACAAAAUGAUAGGUUGCAAACAUCUCAUGGGUUGACGUUCUAUCUGAUGAGCUUCCUAUCUUCACUUCUGAUGGAAGUGUCGACCAAUUGCUUUGAUCGUAGGUACAUUUGAGUUCCUUGUUUCAAGUGUUUUGUGUUUUCUUCUCCCUCCUGUCAGGUUUGUGUCUUCAGAUAAUCUGAGUUGUCCAAGUCCUUAUGAGGAGAGUUCACCUUCUAUCUAGCCUACUGAUAACUCUGGAACU